rnacentral:rRNA from 1 species
AGAGUUUGAUCCUGGCUCAGGAUGAACGCUGGCGGUAUGCUUAACACAUGCAAGUCGAACGGAGUACUUCGGUACUUAGUGGCGGACGGGUGAGUAACGCGUGAGAAUCUGCCUUCAGGUUCGGGACAACCACUGGAAACGGUGGCUAAUACCGAAUGUGCAGCAAUGUGAAAAAUUUAUUGCCUGAAGAUGAGCUCGCGUCUGAUUAGCUAGUAGGUGUGGUAAGAGCGCACCUAGGCGACGAUCAGUAGCUGGUCUGAGAGGAUGAUCAGCCACACUGGGACUGAGACACGGCCCAGACUCCUACGGGAGGCAGCAGUGGGGAAUUUUCCGCAAUGGGCGAAAGCCUGACGGAGCAAUACCGCGUGAGGGAGGAAGGCUCUUGGGUUGUAAACCUCUUUUCUCAAGGAAGAAAAAAAUGACGGUACUUGAGGAAUAAGCAUCGGCUAACUCCGUGCCAGCAGCCGCGGUAAUACGGAGGAUGCAAGCGUUAUCCGGAAUGAUUGGGCGUAAAGCGUCCGCAGGUGGCUAUGUAAGUCUGCUGUUAAAGAGUCUGGCUCAACCAGAUAAAGGCAGUGGAAACUACAUGGCUAGAGUGCGUUCGGGGCAGAGGGAAUUCCUGGUGUAGCGGUGAAAUGCGUAGAGAUCAGGAAGAACACCGGUGGCGAAAGCGCUCUGCUAGGCCGCAACUGACACUGAGGGACGAAAGCUAGGGGAGCGAAUGGGAUUAGAUACCCUAGUAGUCC